GUGUGUGGAUGGUGUUCAGCACCAGGGACAGGUGUAUUUACCUGUGUGUGAAUGGUGUUCAGCACCAAGGACAGGUGUGCUUACCU
rnacentral:pre_miRNA from 1 species